CCUUACUCAAAUCUUAUAAUGUGAAAUAUAAUCAAAGAAUAUCAGCUUUUGAUAGGGAAGAUAAACUUGUGAAAUUUCAUGAACCUUCAUGAUGUUAGUAAUCAUGUAUUUUUCUUUUUACAUCUUUCACUCGAGAUAAUUCCCCGCAGCACAGGGAACAGCUCCUAAGUGGAUGAAUUGCUAGUGUUCGUUUCCCAGUGU